rnacentral:misc_RNA from 1 species
CAGUGUUCGCUGCCCUCGCGGGUAGAAACGCCACCCUUUGUUUAGUAUAUCUUGUUGCUUCGGUAGGCCGCCCUCGGGCGCUGGCUCCGGCCGGUCCGUGCCUACCAGAGGAUCCCCAAACCUGACUGUUCGUGUCGUCUGAGUACUAUGUAAUAGUUA